CCUACGGGGGGCAGCAGUGGGGAAUAUUGCGCAAUGGGCGAAAGCCUGACGCAGCGACGCCGCGUGAGGGAUGAAGGUCUUCGGAUCGUAAACCUCUUUCAGCAGGGAAGAACGGUCACUGUGCUAAUCAGCAGUGAAUUGACGGUACCUGCAAAGGCAGCACCGGCUAACUCCGUGCCAGCAGCCGCGGUAAUACGGAGGGUGCGAGCGUUAAUCGGAAUUACUGGGCGUAAAGCGCUCGUAGGCGGUAUGUCAAGUCAAGGGUGAAAUCCCCGCGCUCAACGUGGGAACUGCCUUUGAAACUGGCAAACUGGAGUGUGUGAGAGGAUAGUGGAAUUCCAGGUGUAGGAGUGAAAUCCGUAGAUAUCUGGAGGAACAUCAGUGGCGAAGGCGACUAUCUGGAACAUAACUGACGCUGAGGAGCGAAAGCGUGGGUAGCAAACAGGAUUAGAUACCCUUGUAGUC
rnacentral:rRNA from 1 species